AAAGAUUCAAAAGUCGAACAGACUUAAACUUUAAACUUCUGCAUUUAAAAAUAACCUUUAAUUCAACAUCGAGGUCGCAAUCUUUUUUAUCGAUAUGAACUCUCUAAAAAAAUUACG
rnacentral:rRNA from 1 species